UUUUGGACAAUUGGGGCAACCCUGAUCCAGCAAUGCCGCGUGAGUGAAGAAGGCCUUCGGGUUGUAAAGCUCUUUUGUCAGGGAAGAAACACCGGCUCUAACACAGUCCGGGAAUGACGGUACCUGAAGAAUAAGCACCGGCUAACUACGUGCCAGCAGCCGCGGUAAUACGUAGGGUGCAGGCGUUAAUCGGAAUUACUGGGCGUAAAGCGUGCGCAGGCGGUUUGUUAAGACAGGUGUGAAAUCCCCGGGCUUAACCUGGGAAUUGCGCUUGUAACUGGCAGACUGGAGUGUGGCAGAGGGGGGUGGAAUUCCAAGUGUAGCAGUGAAAUGCGUAGAUAUUUGGAGGAACACCGAUGGCGAAGGCAGCCCCCUGGGCUAACACUGACGCUCAUGCACGAA
rnacentral:rRNA from 1 species